rnacentral:misc_RNA from 1 species
CAACAAAUUAGUGUGCACUGUAACUAAAGGGUGGAAUAUGUAGACUUUAUUGGAUACU